rnacentral:rRNA from 1 species
CAGCUCUCCGAGUGGUAGGGAUGAUUAUUGGGCUUAAAGCGUCCGUAGCCGGCUUAGCAAGUCUCCUGUUAAAUUCAGCGACCUAAUCGUUGAGCCGCGGGAGAUACUACUAGGCUAGGAGGCGGGAGAGGUCGACGGUACUUCCGGGGUAGGGGUGAAAUCCUAUAAUCCCGGGCGGACCACCAGUGGCGAAGGCUGUCGACUAGAACGCGCUCGACGGUGAGGGACGAAAGCUGGGGGAGCGAACCGGAUUAGAUACCCGAGUAGUCC